ACUGCUCAUAGAGACAUUUCACGUGUGGCCUCUGUGUCACACGUGUGUCCAUAGGUGGCAGAAAGGACAAAAAAUUAUGUCUGCUCUCAGUGUUGUGACCUGUGGAUGAUGAGAUGCCUAACACUUCCUGAAA